ACUACUGAGAUGCUGUGUCAGUAGGGGUGGAAACGAGCCGAGCUCGAGCGAGCUUAUGUCAGCUCAAAUUCGGCUUGAAAUUAAUUUCGAGCCUAAAUCUAGGCUCAAGCUCGGCUUGAAAUUAAUUCGAGCCGAGCUCAAGCGAGCCUAAUUUCGAGUCGAGCCAAGCUCGAGCUCUAAACGAGCCGAUUGAAAUUCUCGACAUUAUAUAAUCAAUAGUUUAAUUUUUAUAUAACAUUACCUACAAUUUGAUGCAACAUGUCCAAUAGUUCAAAAUACAAAAUAAUUGCAAGAAAUGUGAGCUAGGGUGACUGCCUGACUGGGUGAGGGUCUGAGGGAGAACGAGAGAGAGAGAGAGAGAGAAAUAGAGAAAGAGAGGGGAAAAAAAUUAGGGAUUUGAGAAUUUGAAUGUUAUCAUGUUUUAAGAUUAUGUGCAACAGUGAGAGUCUAAAAGAGAGAGUGUGUUAUGUAAAUUUAGAGUUUGGCUCAAUUGCACGGUUGUACUUGUUGGAUUUAUUUUAUGGGCCAACAAUAAUAGUCCAAAUUAAAUUAAAGCCUAUAUAUAAUUAAAAUACAUUAUAUUUAUAAAUAUUUAUAUAUANGAUAUAUAUAUAUAUAUAUAUAGAGAGAGAGAGAGAGAGAAAGAGAGAGAGAGAGAGUGUUCGGCUGAGAUACUAUCGAUAGCACCAAAGGCUUGGUGCUAUCGAGUUUUUCACUAUUAAAUUUAAUCCUUUGAUUAUUUUUACCUGUUAGAUUAUAUUAUUCAAUUAAUCACUUACUCAAUCCUAGAGGACCCACAUUAUCCUAACAGCACAUAUCUUAACCUAAGGGCUAAAAAACUAGUAGCAUCAAUAGCUUUGUGCUCUUAAUAGUAUCCCAGUCUAGUUUUAUAUAUAUAUAUAUAUAGAGGAUUUGAUACUUUCGAUAUUUUGACCCUUAGAUCAAAAAUUGUACGGUACGGUUGAGAUGAUUGCGAUCCUCAUAGGGUUGAGUGAUCCCCACAUAAUAAUAGUAUUAAUUUAAAAAUUAUAAAUAAUUAAAUAGACCGAUUUAAGGGUUAAAAAGUUAAAAGUAUCAGAUUCUCUAUUCUAUUAGUCUAUUUUUCUAAUAGCAUAGUAAUUCUACUUUAAAUUAGAAAUGCAUACCAACUCUUUUGUGUUGGCAUCAUAUCCGCAGUGGCAUCAGUGGCUGGUGACGUGGAGGGAGGAAGGGACGAAUGGAUGGGCCCACGCGGGGGCGCGGCGGUCGGGGACGGAGGACACGGGGCUGCUUUUCGGCCGGACGGUGGAGAUCUGCGGGGGCCGGUUCGCUCCGACGGAUCAGGCGGUGGACCAGCCGGAGUACGUCCGCCUCACCCGCCUCACCUCCUCCCUCUCCCGCCUCCUCUCCCUUAUAAUUAGGAGGAGGAGGACCACGACGAUGCUCCUCUCCCUGCAGGUAACAUCCUUAAAAACCAUGCCUUUCCUCUAAUUAUUACUUUUCAGAGGUUUUUUUUUCUUUUUUUUCUCUUACCCAUGUUUUAAAAAUGGUGACGAGUAAGUACAACUCGAAAAUUUUAGUAGGUCAAAGAUUUCUCGUUAAAUUGGUCGUUCUAACUGCUGAUUGAAUCAGCAAUAUCAGCACGAUAUUAUAAAUAUUUUCUUACUUUUUAAUUUUAUUAUAUGAAAUAAUGUAGAUAUAUUAUUAUUUUAAUAUUAUAAUUGAGUAUAUAAAAUACUGAUUGUUAGACCAAAUUAAAUAAAAAUAAGAUUUCAAGUUCCAGCUUAUAUCGAUACAGAAAUUUAUAUUGAUUUGAGAUAACUAAUAAUAUUUCAAGUUCCAGUUUAUAUCGAUCUAGAAAUUUAUAUUGAUUUGAGAUAACUAUUAAAAUAAUUAUUACGUGAAUUUGCAUAUACACUAAGUAUGUAUAUAUUAUUAUGUUAGUAUCAUACUUAAUUAUAAAAUAUUAACGUUUAAACCAAAUUAAGUAAACAUGAAUAUUCAAAUUUUAUUUUUUAAUAAGACUAAUUGAUUUUAAACCGUUAGAUUUCAAUAUGAAUCGAUAAAAAGUAUUUGACCAGUUUGAUUAAAGUCCGCACUAGUUCACCGGUUCAAUGGUUAAACCCUCAAUUCCAACAGUUUAAAGUGAUUUUUUAAUUUAUCCGGUUCAAAUUGUAGAACCGAACUGUUUUAUAGACUAAAUUGCGGUCAGAUUGGUCGAACCGCUUUAUAAAUUGAAUACCAUUUGAGAUUUUCGAUUGUACAAGUCAUACAAACCACUGGUGACUGUAUACUAGAGCAAAGUUUUUUUUUUUUUUUUUUUUGAGAGAUAGGUAGCACGCUACCCGCUUCGUUUAUUUCAUUUAGAAAUAAAUUUAGCUGGAAAUGUGAAUCAACUAGAAUUCGAACUUGGAUCUCGAGUGCCAAUCACCAAGCCUUUUACCACUUGCUUUAGGGACGGUCGGUAUACUAGAGCAAAGUUAACUGAAUUUUGAAAAGGCCAAAGCACAUAAAACUACAACGUUCUUACAAACAAGAUUCACCAGCGAAAAUAUAUAUUAAUUAUAAUAAUAUAUUCGUCCGCUUAAAUGGCGGAAAAGUAUAAGCUUAAGAGGGUAUUUAUCCCUGCUGUGCGGCAAAGUGCCUUAAUAAUGUACUUUCUUAAGAGGUACUUUUAGGAGAAGCACCGUACCAAAAAUUUUCCGAUAGAUAAUUUCUGUAGCACAAAAGAAGCCAUAAAUUAAUUGAAACUACUGGCUAACCUGUUAGAUCUCAUUUUGGCAUUCCCUACAACAAAAGCUUUUCGUAUUUGUUCAAGACUUGUCGAAAGCUGGUGAAGCUGAAAGCAGAAGCAAAAUCAGGCGCUAAACGGUUUGAGCGCCCAACUUAAAGCUUUUGCGAACUGAAGUCAAAUAAACUUUUUCAUCGAAAUUCUGUUUUGUCAUCUGAUCUUAUACUAAUUGGCAGAACCAUGUUUAACAGUUGUACGACAGUUUCAGUUUGUUUCGUGGCUUAGACUUUUAGUUCUACUCCUAGAAAUUCUCUACUAGUAAUUCGUAAUCUUCAUAUUCUUUCAACUGUUGAGUUAAUCUCAUUCAUUCCGUUUGACCAGGGUGUGGCAGAGAAGGACACGAUCGUAAACAAAAUCGACGAGGAUUCGAGGAAGUUGAUUCCGAGAUGCAAGAGCUAGUUCAGUGUGUUCUCCAAAGUUCCAGUAACCUCAACAACACCACCAAGCAGACAUUCCUGAGUGUAGUGAAAAGCUUUUAUUAUCUUGCUCAUUGCCCAUACGCCACUCUCGACACCCAUAUCUCCAAAGUGAUCUUUCACAGAGUGGUUUAAACCAAAUUCGAUGCAAUACAAGCACCAUAUUUCAGUGCAUCUAUGGCAUCUAUAUAUGUAUCACCAUGAACUCAUCAUAUUUCAGUGUAUCUAUGGCAUUUAUAUAUGUAUCAUCAUCAUGAGUUCAAAAGCUACUACUUCUAGCAAAUUCUCCAACAUCAAAUAAAAGUUAAACAAAAAUUAGUGGAGGUUUAAUUCAGUCGUACUCAAGUUCGUCGGGUGUGAUGGCUCUUGUGAGUGGGAUAAUGGAUUUCUUUUCGGCAUCUCGCAACAAUGGCUUCCUCAUAUCCGGAGUAAAUGGCAAACCAGUAACAUCACAAACAGAAUAAAAUCCACACCGGAAAGUACCCCAUCACGACAUCGAUCAAAAUGGCACGAGUUUGAUCACUUACAGAGCCCAUCUUCUUCUCCAGAGUAAUAUCGCAGCACCCUUCGAUAAACCACAUAGCCAAGCUGCCGUGGGGACAAAGGAAAAAUAAUAAUAAUAAUAAUAAUAAUUUAAACUACCAUGAACGAAUCUAAUUUGGUCAUGACCCAUGUAACAAAGAAAAAAGAAGGUAAAUAACUUUAGUGUUUUAAAAAGGUUCCAAAAUUAAAAUUCUCAACCAACAUGCAUUAGAGAUUUUCCGUAAUCCUGGAAAAAUUCUAGAAUGCAACGGAUAUAUUGAUGACGUGACGUAACAAAUCAAUCAAAUGUCUCUAAAAAUAUGUCCCAUCAUGAUUGUAAAAAAAUAUUUUUGUUGUACUUUUGGUUGAAAAGAAGGAAUGUGAUUGGCUUGUUAUUAAUGACGUGGUGCAAGUGUGAUAGUGUAGAAUUCCUCGUAAUCCAGAACCAACACAUUCUGGGUGUUUUAUUCGCCCCAUAGGUUAAACCUCUUCUGACAUAAAUGGAAGAAGCUUUUUCAUAAUCAUGAGUAAAAAUCAACUCAAGAAAUGAAAUUUGAAUUCAAAGUUGAAUUCAAAAUAUGAAGUUAGAUUUGAAAUUUGAAUAACAAAAUCUGAAUUUGAAUUUAAAAUUCGAAUCCAAAAUCAAAACUUACAUUCAAAAUUUGAAUCCAAAAUUAAAUUUUGGAAUUCAAAUUUUGAAUUCAAAAUCUAUAUUGGAAUCUAAAUUGAAUUCAAAAUAUGAAAUUUAAUAAUUUAAAUUUAAAAGUAAAUUUAAACCUCAACUUAUGAUUCAAAAUAAAGCCAAGAGUAUUUUUGAAAUUCUGAAAAUAUUUUUGAAUUUCUCGCACUCGGAAAUAAAAAAUACCCACUGUCUUCUACGUUAAUAAGAUUCUUCUUUCUACGGAAAUUUUCUAGUGUGUUCCCAAUAUAAUAUUACCUCCGAAACUACUGAACGAUAUUAUCCAAACUAGAAAUUUAUUACAGAUAGCAAGAACCAAACAUACCAGACUAGUGUAUAUAUUUACAUAAAAAGAAAUGCAGUGCAUCAUACGACGUCAUAGUGCAUGGUAAAGCUAUUAUAAACAUAUGAUUUAUAGGUCUAUCAUAAAAGUCGCUCUGCAUGGCUUCAACUAACAUCUAUAAGAAUUGCUUCCAACCUUUAUUAAAUGCCCCUCAGAAGAAUCAUAUAAUGGACUAAUUAGUUUCAUGAAUCUACAAACAUGGCCUAAUAACAUGAUAAGACAAUAUAAUAAUAACAGUUAAGCGACAAGUAUUUAAGUACUGUGAUAAAACAAAAACAUCUGAUGUCGAUUGACUUUACAAACCAUGAAAGAAAUUAAAUACACUAUAAAUAAAACUUAUCUAGCCGUUUCAUCAGGAAGGAAAUUUACAGUACAUCGUCUUCGAGAUCAAUGGAGAUUCCGAGUUAUCAAACCCUCAAAUAUGGUAUAGAGGUCUUUGUUGUCAGGGCCAAAUAUCUCCUCGGCUUUUCGUAGCGUUUCCUGGAAACCAACAAAAUAAAGAUUAGUGACCACAGAACAUGGUAGCAGUAAGUAAUUUGCAAAUAAAUAUACCUCUCUGGUUUGUUUAUGUGCAUUCAAUUCUUUGACAUUGGAGAGAAAAGCACUGAAGUGCUCAUACGACAACCGGCUCCUACAUGAGAAAGAAAAGCCCAAAUUGUGUAAGUCAUCAACUCAAUGAAAAGAAAGUUCAGCUCUGUCGGUUUGUUUUAGCAAAUGGAAAUCAGGCACUUUGUUCUGUACAAGAAAAAAAAAUAAAAAAAUAAAAAAACAUUUAUUCAUUAGUCAAGUAUGAGUGUAUGACCCCAUAAAAAAGGAUUGGAUUACUUCUUAUGGUUUGUCUAGAAUGAUUCUGAUUUAAUUGAUGGUGUGUUUGAAGCAGAAGGAGCUCUUAUAGUAUCCUCACAAACAGAAAAAGACUGAUAAGUCAGUUCAAUAAUAAUCAAGUGACAUUACUUUUUGGCCCAAACAAAGGACGAUAUGAUACAAAAAUGGACCUGGUUCUAUCAUCGAUCAAAUAUUUCCAUAUGAAAACAAGAUGGAUCGCAGUUUAUGUAACUAGCCAUCUUCUGUCGCAUUAUGCAAAUUAUGCAAUUAUAACACUGCGACUGGCAAUUUUUACCGGACUUGGCGAAAGAACUCUUUCCCAUCAACCCGUGUUCGUCCUGAAACAAAUCAAAUGCAUACAUGAGAAAGUUGAGUACUUGGCAAGCAAGUUUCUGUCCACCAAAAAUUCCAAAGCAAACCUGUUUGGCUUCCCAUGUCAAAAGGAGAGGUCAUCGAGCUGUGAUGACUUGUUGGCAAGGAUGAAAAUAUGGAUGACCUUUCGUCAAACAUGUUCCUUGUGGUUGCGAAUGAGAUAGAAUGCCGUCUUGGGGGGGAGUCUGGAGGAGUAAGCCUUGGUGUGCCACCAAGUGAUGUUGAAAGAACAUGGGCUCUGCUUUGUUUGGAGCCUAAAAUAAUUGAAAACAGUCACAAUUACUCCAACUUUUGAAGUGAGAACAUUAAUUAAUUAUAUAAUCCAAUCAAAAUUAACUCCAGACAAUAUAGAUUUAGCGUACCAUCUGUUUCAACAUAAGCAACACUAUCCUCUGAAGUUGGGCUUCCAGAUUCUGACAACUGAUUCGGAGUAGAAGACGUUCUAGAGGUGGGAAGUCCAGCAUCAGAUUCUAACAAAAUGUACAAAUAAGUAUAAACCUCAAGAAUCAUAUGAUAACAAAGAAUUAUGCAUUCAAGGAGUAAAAAUUAAUAUAGUGAUGUACCUCCAGCCGAUGAUACGGUUGAGAAACUAGCGGUGUCAGACACCUUUACCCUGGGAGCUCCUACUUGCUGCAGUCCAUCAAUGUCAUUUUAGUGUAUCAACAGCGUUCGGAUUUUUAAUCACAGAUGGAAGAAACCUUAGACAAGUAUCAUUAUAUCAAACUGAGGCUUAUAUGUUCGUAGUAAUAAAAGAGAUCGAUUCACUCACAGGGUUUUCUUCCUCUUCCUUAAGUGAUUGCAUGAGUGUCUUUUUAAAACCUUCCAGCUGCACAGGACAACAACAAUCAUGGGAAUCCAAAGGUUAGAUAUUGAGCAAGUUAUUAAACAGAACCAUUCAUGGCUUCUAUUUUUCUUAGCUAAAAAGUUUGUGAAUAUAUGCAAAUACUCAAGUGGUGCUUGAUAAAGAAAGGCAUUCUACAUUAAAAUCCCUUGUCCAUCUCUAUGCCAUUUGAAAAGAUCUUCUAAGGGGCUGUUUGGUUGCACGCAUUUGCAACUACGGUGCAGUUGCAAAUGCAUACAAGCCCAACUGCUGCAGUUCCAAUUGUAUAAGAAGGUCCAACUGCUGCAGUUCCAACUGCAGCAGUUGGUGAGGAAUAGAAUCACCCACAAAUUAACAAUAAUAAAUAAAUAAAUAAAUAAUAUAUAUAUAUGGAUAAAUAAAAAUACUUGUAAAUAAACUCAUACUAAUAAAAUUUUUUAGGCAAUACAAGCUUUGUGCAAAAAAUUAAAUUUUUUUAAAUUUAUUUUAUUUAAAAUAUAAAAAUAAUUUUUUUCUAAAUUUUUAUAGAAUGUGAUUGUGUAUGUUAACUUAAUAAGUUUUAAUCAAUUAUAAUUAUUAAAUUUGAUAAAAAAAUGAGAGAAUCGUUUAAAUUUUUAAAGUUUGAUUUACAUAUUAAAAUUAAAUAAAUUAAAAAUUUUAAAUGUGUCGAUUAAUAAAUUGAAGAAUUGUUGAAAAAUAUAAAAAUAUUAUAUAUAUCUAUAUUUAUUUAUUUAUAAAUAGUAAGUUUAAAUGAUUAAUAAAAUUAUACAAUUAUUUUAUGCAUAGUGAAGGUAAUCUCACCACUCUAUCUGAAGAGGUGACAAAAUUCACAAAUACAAUUAUCAUCUUCAUAUUACCAAACAGAAAAAAUGUAACUGCAGCAGUUGCAACUGUAUAAAACCAAACAGACUAGGUGUAGUUACAACUACAGCAUUUGCAACUGCAUGUAUUUCCAACUACACUGUUUCUACAACUACAUCCAACCAAACGGCCCCUAAGAGAAGUUGCUCCAUCCAAAAAAAAAAUUUGAUGUUAUUCUCGAGAAACUAUAAGAUGGAUAACCAAUUUAGCAUAGUAGAUUACCUUUGUUAUCACAACAUAGAGAAACAUAGUUUUAAUUAAGUAUGAAACACGACGCUUUUUGGUACUAAGGCAGACGCGAUAAUGUCAUACUUUUAGCAUUAACAAAAUUGCCAAAUAUAAUCACAUAAUAUAAUAAAACAGGUGUACAAUGACAAACAAAACGCUAGUUCAGAUAAAAACAAUUCAAGAAUAAUAAUCGGAAAGUAGGGAACUAUUCCCAGAAUUGAUUAAGGAAAAGCCAAAAUAGAUCAGAAAUUCAUAGAAUUACUGGCAGACGUGGUAACGUCAUGCUUUAGCAUUAACAAAUUUGUCAAAUAUAAUCAUGAAAUAGAAUAAAACAUGUGUAUAAUGACAAACAAAAAGCUAGUUCAGAUUGCAACAAUUCAAGAUUAAUAAUCUGAAAGUAGGCAUGUAUAUCCAGAAUUGAUUAAGGAAAAUGAGCCAAAAUAGAUCAGGAUGAUCGAUCCUCUUAUUAGAUUAGAACCAAGGAUUUAAGUGUCGUGACACGGGGUCGUGCCGGAAACUUUCCGGCACGGUAUGGCACGGUCCAUGCCAGUCACAAAAAAUUUAUGUGUGCCGACACAUAAUAACAUGAAAUAUUUAUUCUCUUUAGCAACAAAAUAUUUUAACUAUUUAUUAUGUAUUUUUAUCAAAUCUGACCUCUAUUGAGAAAAUUACUUACUAAUUUAAAAAAUAGAGAGUUUUGAGCUGUGUCAUCGACACAGGGGCUAUAUCGUGCUGAUAUCUUGCUGAUACGAUACAACACAAUAGAUACAGCUCGUGUCGAUGAGCACUUAAAUCCUUGAUUAGAACUAAUUCAAUUCUUCGAAGCUGACGUGAAAGUUCACAAAAACUACUAGUGUUGACUGAUUCUUUAAAAUAAUAAUAAUAAUAAUAAUAAUUUCUUGAAACAUCAAAGAAGCCAAAUUUAGAGCUUUUGGAUGUCCUAUUUUGGUGCAUCAAAAGAAAGAAUGUUGCUAGUGUAAACAAGCCAAGUAAAUACGAUAUGAAAUUCACUUACAAACAUACAAUUAACAUACAACAUUUUUUACUAUUGUAUUAAAAAGGUAAACACCAUGUACUAAACAAAAUUGUAAUGUGGAUUACUCAAAAUCAUUGAUCUGAAAAACUCCUUACAUCAACCAGCAAAGUAGUCAAUUUUGAAUCCCUUGAUUACAUGUUAAAAUAGUUCCAAACCAGCGGUUUUAAUUUCAAGAUACUUUUAGAGGUCCUACUUAUAGUUAAUGAUAUAAAUAUUCUAAUAUUGAUGUUGAAUUGAAGAUAUAAGAGCUGUAACUUUCUCUCUCUGUGUGGUUUGUAUUAGUUGCACUUUCCUAGACCAGAUAGAGAGGGGGACAGGCCACCACCUCACCAAUUUAAUCAACUGAGUAAAUACAGCGUCCCAUUGAAUGUCAAGAAUUUCAGGCAAUUAGCCUCAUAAGUCAUUUAGAAUAUAUGUCACGUCUAACAUAGUUCCAAGGAAGCACUAGAAAAGAAAGGUUGCGUUCAGGAUGAAUUGUUAGAGCCUAUUUAUGAGAAGAAAGCCUAUGCUGGUAGCAGAAAACAUUUUGAAGAUAGACCAGUACUUUCAGUUAUGCCAUUUCUCUAUCUCUUAAGAGGCCUAAGAGGCGAUUCCUACCAGUUCCUAAAUCAUCCUUAACAACGUUCGUCAAGGCUAUGCCCAAUUGGUAGUUCAAUUGCCUAGUUGGAUCCAAAAGGAAAAGACAACAUGGAAAUCUCUCUCUUGCCUCCUUGCUUCUCUUAGUCUAAAACGUCUUAGGCGUAACUUAUGAUACAAUAAGCAAGGAAGACCUAAUUAUUAUUCAAAAAAUAAGUCUAUCAUUCAUAGGGAAAUAGUAGAUGUGUUUUAAGAUUUUGGAUGCCGAAAAACAACAUAGAAAGAACGUGUAAGGAUCAUAAUGACGCUUCAACACAAAAAUUCAAGCAUAUUCAAAUAAGAAAGCUAUAGUCUAGUAGAUUAUAUGAAAACUACCAUGAAAAAGCAUCUGACUCUACCAUGAAAAAGCAUCUGACUAGUAUCUUAUGACAUAGGUAAUGACAAUCAAUUGCUCUAAAAUCUUAAACUACUAGAGAAUGGUGUUUUACUAUUUAUAUUCAACAUUCUCCCUAAUGUCUGGGUUCGAGUGUUUUUUAAUAGGCCCAUGACACGGGCAUGAAUUAAAUAGAGGAACUUCAGUGAGACCAAAAGCCUGAAGUGAGUCGAACAUAGGAAGCUCUGCUUUGAUACCAUGAGAAACAACCGAUCACCUUAAAUGCUUAAGCAAAUGAACACCUAAGUAAUAAAUAUAUUAAUUCAAAUUGGCCUUUGCUUCGAAAAAUAAGUUAGUUCCAACAAUCUCAACCAGAACAUAAUAAAAAAUAUUGCAACAAUAGAACUGAUAAAGAAAAUGUGCAAUUAAAUAGAGGAAGCCUGGAAAACAAUUUAAAUAACCAAAUUAUAUGACCUUACUUUUCUUAAAUUUGAAUUUUUAAAUGCAAUGAAUUCAUGUUAACAAUCAAAUAGCAUGAUAUUUACGAAUAAUAUAAUGCCCCAACAGUCCCACAUCAGAUGGGAAAGGAAUUGUGAACGAAAAUAUAAGGAACAAGAACCCUAAUACUAAUAACAGGGAUUAAGCAUUUUGAGGUGGUGGCUCACUGGCUUGGGCCCAAUGAAUUAUUACUAUUAGUGAGUUGGGUCGUUAUAAUUGGUGUCAAAACCAGUUUACCAGCCGGAAGUGUAAAAUGGGUCUCACCUGACAAGAACGUCAAGGAUAAAUGGGAGGAGUCUAUAACGCCCAAUAGUCCCACAUUGAAUGGAAAAGGAAUUGCAAAUGAGCAUAUAAGGAUCAAGGACUCUAAUAUUAAUAACUGGGCUUAAGCUAAGCAUUUUCGACUGGUGGUUUGGGCCCAAUAUGUUAUUAAUGCUAUUGUGCUAGCGAGCUGGGUCGUUACAAAUUAUUAUAGCCAUACGAUCAUUCAUAUUUUAAAUUUGAUGUAAAUUCGACAUAAGAUUAACGAGACAUAAAUGAGACUUAAACACUAUGAUAAUUAUUGUAACCAAUUUCUUAUAAUAAAUGACCAUUGCAAAAGGUUCAACGAAUUUCUUGGGGACAACUUGACUAAUGCUUCGUGGAUCCUCUCAAAACUUGGAAGAUAAGGAGACUACUUUAGCAAAUCAAGGAAACACAAGCAAAGUUCAGGUAAUAGCUUAACCUUGGUUUUGGAAGUAUAACCCACACAUCAAAAGAUAACAUGCUAGCAAAAGCUCAAGUUACUUGUGAUUCUUUUAAGAAUAAUGGUAUAAUACAAAUAUGGAUUGCCUCUUGCUAUAAAUCCUUUACCUUCAGAUAUCUUUUGAUAAUUGCAAUUAAACUAGUUACAGCUUUUAUUUUCAAAUGUAUCUGAUCUAUGAGUUGAAACCAUCAAAAAUCUUAAAAAGCAUUGGGGCUAGUUAUACCAUUGGUCAUCCAACUUACAGUCAAAUUUCAGUACUGCAAUUUAUUUCAGUCAAGGCAUCAAACUUCAAUUUUGGUUUCAAUUCAGUCAUUACACAAGCUCCAAUCUAUUUUUUCUAAUGAAAUAAUGAUGUAACAGUUGAUUCAACUACAAAGUGAUUAUAUGUCAAUGUCCACUAGUUGAUUUAAUUGCUAUAUCAUCUCAGCAUUAUAUCUAUUCAUCAAUUAUGCCACCUCAAAAAAUGUGGUUGAUAACUGAAUGAGCAGCCAGAUCACCUCCUAGGCCCCAAUUGAUACAUUAGCAAUCAAGUCAUCUACAAAGAGAUGAUAUGGUAACCUAAUUAGCUAGCAAUUUAUCUUUCUUUUUUUUUGGAAAGUACGCCAAUUUGUCACUAGUUAGAAAAAUUACAUGAGUUUGACAAAGCAAUCAAAUUAAAACAGAAAUUGAAGUACAGUGAUCUAAAUGAAAUGUCACUUAAAGUAUUCACCAAAGGUCCAAGAAUGACUUCACAAAGUAAUAAUACCUUGGAGAUGUCUCGGUUGAGCUUCUUGACGGUGUUGGAAAGUGAAGCAUUCUCGCUCAACAGGGUCUCCUACACCAGUUACCCAAAACCCAGCUGAUGACUUUAAGAUCAUCAUGUAUGAUCAAUUCUCUAUAGUAGAAAUGUAUGGAUGCCCCCAAAACUACAGGCCAUUUAGAAAUCGCCCCCUCAACUUCAUUUCUUUUGAUUGACACCGCCUUAGCUCUUGCCUUUUCGGAAUUGGGGAUUUUAUCCAACUAAUCAUUUUAUCAAAUUUGAUGAUUGAAUUACUUUUUAGCAAAUGAAACUAAAAUAAUUAACAACUAGUAGUUAAUAGAGCCAUCAAAGUUUAACAAAAUUUCCAACUUGGCUAACAAGUUAAAGGGGGCCAAUCGCCAAAUUGAGGAGCCUACUUCAAAAUGGAGUUGAGGGGGUCUCCACAUAUUUUCACCUUCUCUUUGCUAUAGAAUAACUAAGUUUCAUUUGAGCUUUUAUACUUGAACUGAGUUUAAAAUGUUAGCAAAUUUAAUGACUCUACGAGUUAUUAACCUUCAAUUGCUCUAGUUUUAUUUGCUAAUAAGUGAUUCAAAUCAUCAAUGAAAUUGAUAAAUUUCCAAUUUUUUCUUAACUAAAAUCACUUGAUUCCAGAGGGAAAUAAAGGUUGAGAGGGUCUUAAUAAAAACAAAAAGUUAAGAGGACUAUUUCAGAAUCGGCUAUUGUCGAGGGGCUCUCAAUACUCUAAAAAAAUAAUUUAAUUAAUCCAACAGAAGGAUGGGAAGAGGAGGAGGGGGAGGGGACCUUCUCUUCUUGGGCUUGGUCGAGCUGGUGGGAGAGGUCGGCAAGGGAGGCGUCGAGGGUCUCGAGCUGGGCGCGGAGGUCGGCGACGAGGUCGUCCUUCUCGGCGAGGCGCUGCCGGAGGCGGGCGGCCUCCGACUCCAGCCGCGAGACGCGGCCGGCCAGCGCGAUGGACGUGAUCUUCCGCGCCACGUCCAGCUGCUCGAACGGGUCCGACGGCAGCACCGCCAGCACCUCCUCCGGCAGACCGAAGUCCGGCGGGCCGCCGCCCGACUCCGCCGGCGCUGCUGCUGCUGCCGCCGCCAUCACCACCACAUCGUCUUCCCUCCUCUCACUUCACUCUCUCUCUCUCUCUCCUCGAGUGCUUUUCUCUUUGUUUUUCCGUUCUUCGGAUUCUUUUUUUUUUUCAGGAAAAAUAUAACGAAUUUUAAAAUUAAGAAAAUUCGGACGGGAGAGGAGGAAUCAGCAGGGAUUAGGAUUUGGAUAGAGGUAAGGGAGAUCGUGUGGUUGUGAUUGGUACAUUAGGAUACGCAAUUAAUUAUUAAUAAAGAAUUAUUCGGCAUGUUUUGUGAAAGGUUGUCUUCGGAGAAAUAAUUUUUUUCCGCAGUAUCUGUUAUCUGUUACAAAUAAAAGGCGAAAAUAGAGACGAUAUUUACACUGCCGAUGACGAAAUGGAAAAAUUCUUCCAGCUUCGGGAACAAAACUACUGCUCGCUGCGCAAAAUCUCCCAUUUCACAAAAUAAAUAUACUAAUAAUAUAUAUAUAUAUAUAUAAUAUAUAUAUAUAUAUAUAUAUAUAUAUAUAAUAUAUAUAUAUAUAUAUAUAUAUAUAUAUAUAUUAUUAUUAUUAUUUUAUUAUUAUUAUAUAUUAAUUAACCGUCUAUUUAUUUAUAAAUUAGUGAAGAAACACGCGCGAUCCGACGGAAAGAUAAUAUAAUAGUAAAUUAUUAUAACUAUUAACAUCACUUUUUUAUAUUAUACACUAAUAUUUUUUACUUAUUAUUUGUCUCAGUAUGAAUAAUUAAAAAUUAAAUAAAAAAUUAAGGUAUAUUUUUUCUAAAAAUAUUUUAACCACAAAAAAUAUUAAAAGAAAAAAUAAAAAAAAGAAAAUGUAAAGUGUGUGAGAGAAGAGAGUGAGAGAGAGGAAAAAAAAAAAAAAAAACCUACCGAAGCGCCCCGCCAAAACGCCGCAAGGAGGUCGCUUGCCUGAUUUUAUAUCUAUAUAUAUAACAUAUAUAAAUUAAAUGAUAAGAAAUUCAUCACUUGAAAUUUGUCACGUCCCGGAUGACCAUGUUUCUCCGGGCACGCCAACAGACCCGCCGUAUACAUAAAAAUUUUUCGUAUAUACGAAACGAUAGCUAUACCUGUAACAGAAUAUAGAUACAUAAAAGGUAAAGAACUGCUAUAAAUAAAAUAUGCAUAUAAAAACAUAAAAGGUCCACUGUACAUACAGAAGCCACGGAACCAAUGAGUACAACAGCAUAAAAGUAUGUAUAUAAAACUCCAAAACUAUCUCUGAUGGGUGCUCCUCUAGCAAAAGACCAAAGAUGGAAGGGAUAGCUCGCGACUCCCUUACCAUGGUCAGAAUCAACAACAGCAGCAGCCGCAGACGAAGGCUCUACAAAAAAGUGACAACAACUGGGUGUGAGAACUACUGUCAAACAGAGUAGUCCUUAGUGGGUACCGUCACUCACCCUAACGCCCUACCCACUAAAGGCCUAUUUGGAUGCACAGUAAAAAAUCUCCACGGGAUUUAUAAACUAUGGUUUUGGUCCAAAUGAAAUAGGAAAUCAUGUAACUCUAAAAAAAUUCCACGGGUUCAAUUUUUAAACUGUUUGGAUGCGCAUUGUGUAAUUUCACAGGAUUUCUCUAAAUUUUAAAAUUAAAAGUUAAAAUUUCAAAUUUUAAUGAAAAUUAAAAUUUAAAAUUUGAUACGUGAAAUGCAAAAUUUUAAAUUUUGAAAAUUUAAAAUUUAAAAUUUNNNNNNNNNNNNNNNNNNNNNNNNNUUGGUUGCACGCAUUUGCAACUGCAACUCUUAUGUUUGGUUUAGUGCAGUUUAGCCCAACUGCUUGCAGUUCAAUUGUAUAAGAAGUCAAUGCUGCAGUUCCAACUGCAGCAGUUGUGUGAGGAAUAGAAUCACCCACAAAUUAACAAUAAUAAAUAAAUAAAUAAAUAAUAUAUAUAUAUGGAUAAAUAAAAAUACUUGUAAAUAAACUCAUACUAAUAAAAUUUUUAGGCAAUACAAGCUUUGUGCAAAAAUUAAAUUUUUUUAAAUUUUUUAUUUUAAAAUAUAAAAAUAAUUUUUUUUUCUAAAUUUAUAGAUGUGGAUUGUGUAUGUUAACUUAAUAAGUUUUAAUCAAUUAUAAUUAUUAAAUUUGAUAAAAAAAUGAGAGAAUCGUUUAAAUUUUAAAGUUUGAUUUACGUAUUAAAUUAAUAAAUUGAAAUUUUAAAUGUGUCCAUUAAUAAAUGAAGAAUUGUUGAAAAAUAUAAAAAUAUUAUAUAUAUAUCUAUUUAUUUAUUUAUAAAUAGUAAGUUUAAAUGAUUAAUAAAAUUAUACAAUUAUUUUAUGCAUAGUGAACGGUAAUCUCACCACUCUAUCUGAAGAGGUGACAAAAAUUCACAAAUACAAUUAUCAUCUUCAUAUUACCAAACAGAAAAAAAUGUAACUGCAGCAGUUGCAACUGUAUAAACACAACAGACUAGGUGUAGUUACAACUACAGAUUUGCAACUGCAUGUAUUUCAACUACACUGUUUCUACAACUACAUCACAACAAACGGCCCCUAAGAGAAGUUGCCUCCAUCCAAAAAAAAAAUUUGAUGUUAUUCUCGAGAAACUAUAAGAUGGAUAACCAAUUAAGCAUAGUAGAUUACCUUUGUUAAUCACAACAUAGAGAAACAUAGUUUUAAUUAAGUAUUGAAACACGACGCUUUUUGGUACUAAGGCAGACGCGAUAAUGUCAUAUUUUAGCAUUAACAAAAUUGCCAAUAUAAAUCAUAAUAUAAUAAAAACAGGUGUACAAUGACAAACAAAACGCUAGUUCAGAUAAAAACAAUUCAAGAAUAAUAAUCGGAAAGUAGGGAACUAAUCCCAGAAUUGUAUUAAGAAAAGCCAAAUAGAUCAGAAAUUCAUAGAAUUAUGGCAAGAUGGUAACGCAUGCUUUAGCAUUAACAAAUUGUCAAAUAUAAUCAUGAAAUAGAAUAAAACAUGUGUAUAAUGACAAACAAAAGCUAGUUCAGAUUGCAACAAUUCAAGAUUAAUAAUCUGAAAGUAGGCAUGUAUAUCCAGAAUUGAUUAAGAAAAUGAGCCAAAAUAGAUCAGAUGAUCGAUCUCUUAUUAGAUUAGAACAAGGAUUUAAGUGUCGUGACACGGGUCGUGCCGGAAACUUUCCGGCACGGUAUGGCACGGUCCAUGCCAGUCACAAAAAAUUUAUGUGUGCCACACAUAAUAACAUGAAAUAUUUAUUUCUCUUAGCAACAAAAAUAUUUUAACUAUUUUUAUGUAUUUUAUCAAAUCUGACCUCUAUUGAGAAAAUUACUUACUAAUUAAAAAAUAGAGAGUUUUGAGCUGUGUCAUCGACACAGGGGCUAUAUCGUGCCUGAUAUCUUGCUGAUACGAUACAACACAAUAGAUACAGCUCGUGUCGAUGAGCACUUAAAUCCUGAUUAGAACUAAUUCAAUUCUUCGAAGCUGACGUGAAAGUUCACAAAAACUACUAGUGUUGACUGAUUCUUUAAAAUAAUAAUAAUAAUAAUAAUAAUUCUUGAAACAUCAAGAAGCCAAAUUUAGAGCUUUGGAUGUCCUAUUUUGGUGCAUCAAAAGAGAAUGUUGCUAGUUAAACAAGCAAGUAAAUACGAUAUGAAAUUCACUUACAAAAUACAAUUAACAUACAACAUUUUUACUAUUGUAUUAAAAGGGUAAACACCAUGUACUAAACAAAAUUGUAAUGUGGAUUACUCAAAAUCAUUGAUCUGAAAAACUCCUUACAUCAACCAGCAAAGUAGUCAAUUGAAUCCCUUGAUUACAUGUUAAAAUAGUUCCAAACCAGCGGUUUUAAUUUCAAGAUACUUUUAGAGGUCCUACUUUAUAGUUAAUGAUAUAAAUAUUCUAAUAUUAUGUUGAAUUUGAAGAUAUAAGAGCUGUAACUUUCUCUCUCUGUGUGUUUGUAUUAGUUGCACUUUCCUAGACCAGAUAGAGAGGGGACAGGCCACCACCUCACCAAUUUAAUCAACUGAGUAAAUACAGCGUCCCAUUGAAUGUCAAGAAUUCAGGCAAUUAGCCUCAUAAUCAUUUAGAAUAUAUGUCACGUCUAACAUAGUUCAAGGAAGCACUAGAAAGAAAGGUUGCGUUCAGGAUGAAUUGUUAGAGCCUAUUUAUGAGAAGAAAGCCUAUGCUGUAGCAGAAAACAUUUUGAAGAUAGACCAGUACUUUCAGUUAUGCCAUUUCUCUAUCUCUUAAGAGGCCUAAGAGGCGAUUCCUACCAGUUCCUAAAUCAUCCUUAACAACGUUCGUCAAGGCUAUGCCCAAUUGGUAGUUCAAUUGCCUGUAUUGGAUCCAAAAGGAAAAGACAACAUGGAAAUCUCUCUCUUGCCUCCUGCCUUCUCUUAGUCUAAAACGUCUUAGGCGUAACUUAUGAUACAAUAAGCAAGGAAGACCUAAUUAUUAUUCAAAAAAUAAGUCUAUCAUUCAUAGGGAAAUAGUAGAGUGUUUUAAGAUUUGGAUGCCGAAAAACACAUAGAAAGAACUGUAAGGAUCAUAAUGACGCCUUCAACACAAAAAUUCAGCAUAUUCAAAUAAGAAAGCUAUAGUCUAGUAGAUUAUAUGAAAAUACCAUGAAAAGCAUCUGACUCUACAUGAAAAAGCAUCUGACUAGUAUCUUAUGACAUAGGUAAUGACAAUCAAUUGCUCUAAAUCUUAAACUACUAGAGAAUGGUGUUUUACUAUUUAUAUUCAACAUUCUCCCUAAUGUCUGGGUUCGAGUUGUUUUUAAUAG
rnacentral:lncRNA from 1 species